rnacentral:ncRNA from 2 species
UACUUGGUUGAUCCUGCCAAGGAAGCACACUUAGGUCAUAGAUUAAGCCAUGCAAGUGUUAGUUCAGGUAACGAAACUGCGAAUAGCUCAUUAAUACGCUCAGAAUCUAUUUGGCGGCGACCAACAGGUCUUAAAUGGAUAGCAGCAGCAACUCUGGUGCUAAUACAUGCGAUUGUUUCUCCAGAUGUGAAUUAUGGAGGAAAAGUUGACCUCAUCAGAGGCACGCCAUUCGACUGAGUGACCUAUCAGCUUGUACUUAGGGUCUUUACCUAGGUAGGCUAUCACGGGUAACGGGCGGUUACCGUCGGACUGCCGGAGAAGGCGCCUGAGAGAUAGCGACUAUAUCCACGGGUAGCAGCAGGCGCGAAACUUUCCCACUCGAGACUUUCGGAGGAGGUAAUGACCAGUUCCAUUGGUGCCUUUUGGUACUGUGGAUAGGGGUACGGUUUUCCACCGUACCGAAACCUAGCAGAGGGCCAGUCUGGUGCCAGCAGCUGCGGUAAUUCCAGCUCUGCGAGUUUGCUCCCAUAUUGUUGCAGUUAAAACGCCCGUAGUCUGAAUUGGCCAGCAAUGGUCGUACGUAUUUUUACGUUCACUGUGAACAAAUCAGGACGCUUAGAGUAUGGCCACAUGAAUGACUCAGCGCAGUAUGAAGUCUUUGUUUUCUUCCGAAAACAAGCUCAAUGAGAGCCAUCGGGGGUAGAUCUAUCUCAUGACGAGUGGUGGAAUACUUUGACUCAUGAGAGAGAAGCUGAGGCGAAGGCGUCUACCUAGAGGGUUUCUGUCGAUCAAGGGCGAGAGUAGGAGUAUCCAACAGGAUUAGAGACCCUGGUAGUUCCUACCUUAAACGAUGCCGACCAGGAGUUUGUCAUUUGUUAAUGGCAGAAUCUUUGGAGAAAUCAUAGUUCUUGGGCUCUGGGGGAACUACGAC